CCUCUCUCCACGUCCACGGCGCCGAGUCUCGCCACGGUGGCGCAGGCGCCAGGGAGGUUCCCCGGCUUUGCCGCGCGGAGGAAGUCCCGGUUACGCAGAGCGCGCUGGGGCAGGGCUGACCUUCCCCUUUCUCUACUUCACUGGCCUCCUCCAGACGUGGUGGUUGCGCCCUUUCGGCCUCGCUUUCCGUUUUUUGGCUUCAUCCCCUAGAUCUGCAAACAGUUCCUCGUGUUUCUUCCGUUAGCCGGGAAACGCGAACUGCAGCGUUUGGGACCCGGGUUUGCGCGUGUGGAAAGCAAAAGGGGUUACUCUGCUGGAGUUCGACAUUGCAAAUAAAGGUCUUUAUCCCCGGCGGUUCUACAAAAUUAGUUCUGCAGGGAUUCUGGUUGAAAGAAGCGUUAAAGUGGGCCUUGUAGGAGUCAGCAAUAAUCCAAUUUUACAUGGGUGCAGGUGGCUGCCUGUGUCUAGCGCUUUCACACAUCUCAUAUCUUCAUCCACGCCGUGGGUAUUUUUUUUCCACGGUGUGUUUCUGUUGCUGCCUCCAGUAUAUUGCUUAAUCAUCCUACCUGGUAAUUAUUUAUGCAUUUUUCUCCUACUCUCGACUCAGCUCCUAGGGAAUAAAAACACAUUAACUUAUCUUUGUGCCCACAGCACCCACCAAGUAUUUCCAUCACGUAAUACUGCCUCUAGAAAGGCAGGAGGAGAAGCAGUCACGCUAAGGAUCUAGGCAAGCCAGAUCUUUUGUCCGGUUUUAGGAGGUGGCCAGCCCUUACUUAUUCCACAAGUGUUUUUCCAGAAACUCAGACUUGAUAUUGCCUCAAGUCCAAGGCAGUGUGCUUCCCCCACUCACAUAUCACUAAUAGUAGCUAACAUUUGUUCAGAUCCCUGUAUGUACUCUGCCACUGUUUUAAAUGUUACACCCGGGUUACCUCAUUUAAUCCUUACAACUGCCCUGUGAGGUAGGUACUAUUAUUAUCUCUACUUUGUAGAUGGGAUUCACCGAGGCACAGACGGUUAAAAAACCUAGCCCAAAUAACACAAAUAAACAGCAGAGCAUGCAGUGCUAGAGUCUGCAUUCUUAACAAUUGCUAUAUUCUCCCUCUCCGUGAAUGUGGGCUGAGAUGCUGAAACAGGCAUGUGCUGUGGGGGAGAAAAAGCUUUGUCCAACCAAGUGCUUUCUAAUGUCCAGAUGACAUAGAGCUAGGAUUUCCUAAUGUCUUUUUUCCCCUAUUUUUCUCUCCAUUUCAGGGUUGAGUUUGUGCAUCGAUUGUGAACACAACAGGCAGCAGGCUAUAAUGGUGGUCCUGGCUGGAGUAGUUUUCACAGACUUCAGUAAUCUGUGGAGAUGAACGGGCAGUUCUCUGUAGUUUUCACAGAUCACUGCCAGUUCGUUUUGAGGCCUUCAGGAGUGAAGACCUGGCUCAUCAUCACUCUUUGUUGUUUUGUUAAAUUUAUUUACACCCUACUUUAUUCCAGAGGAAAGGAUUUAACGUAGUUUACAUAAAUGUGUACAUCAGGGUAAAUUAAAAAUAAGUACAGAGAAAAAUAGGACAAAAGAAAACCGUGAGUGUGAAAGAUAAGAUUAAGCCAGCAGUUUUGUAUGCAAAAUGCAUGGUGUAAGGUCCUAUUGGUUUGCUGGAGGUAGGCCACACAUAUGACUCUCAGUUUUCUAGCAACCAAGAAAAAGAUCAGUUGCAAUCGGAGUAGGUGUUUUGGCUAAGCUGGAACUAGGACUUGAAUAUAGCAGCUUGUAGAGUUAUACCACUUGCCCAAAUCUCUUCCAUGAGCCUCUUUAAGUGUAACAGAAUGCCUGGGAGCACGUAAAUGCUCCUACUUAGAUGCCUACUUAGCCUCUAAUUUUCAUGGGGCCCAUGAAUCCCAUGAAAAAGAACUUUGAACCCUGUCCACAAUUAGAGUUCAGGUAUACGCAGACAUGUUUAAAGACAAGGGACACCCAAAGGAAAGAUUGCACAGAGAGAAAGUGAGCAUCCGAGAGAAAAUCACCACAAGUGAGGCAGAGGGAGGCCGGUCUCAGCAGAGUUUUGGAGGUCGUGAGAAGAAGAGGUAGGAGAUAGGAGAGUGGUUCCGAGUACUUGCCUGCUGAUGUUACCUUCUCCACCCCCACCAGGUUUUCCAGUGCCUGGAGUCUUGGGCAGGAAUGGGCCACUGUAAGAAAGAGCUUUAUCACUAGGGCCUCAGCCAACUUUUCUGUGGGAUAUCCCUCCAAAAUAAUUAAGAGUUCAGAAUGCUUCAGAUUUUGAAGUGAAACUGAUAAUGUCUGUGCCUAUCAGAUAAAGGCAAACCAGUGCUCAGAGGAACCCAACCAUCUCUGAAUUGAGACCAGAGAGCUGUCUCUAUGGAUAGUCCUUAGAGAAGGCAUUUCGGAACACAGUAAACAGCAGCCUGGUGACUCCGAUUACAGGGCCAGUUGCCUUUGUUACAAUAAAAGCAAGUCAUCUACACAGAUUUUUCCUACCAGGAAGAGCAUGUGCUGACCAACAGACAUGAAUUUCAGCCUGGUAGUUACAACAUUCACAGUAUACCCACAUCACUAAGCUGGGAGGCACAUUUUGAGACCCAGAAUCCUGACACCUCCAUGCCUUCAAAAGGAUGAGCAGAUUCAUGUAUGACCAGAAUGUAAACCAGGAUCACAGAGCAGCCGGAGAGGUGGUGACAGAACCAUCGAUGGAACCCUGGGCUCCAGGUUCUGACUCCUAUUUUCACUCACUAAUUUUUUUUUUUUGAGAUGGAGUCUUGCUCUGUCGCCAGGCUGGAGUAGAGUGGCAC
rnacentral:lncRNA from 1 species